GGCGGAGCCAAUCCCAUCAAAAGUCGGCUCAGUUCGGAUUGAGGUCUGCAACUCGACCUCAUGAAGCUGGAAUCGCUAGUAAACGCGCAUCAGCCACGGCGCGUUGAAUACGUUCUCGGGUCUUGUACUCACCGCCCGUCACACCAAGAGAGUCGGUAAUGCCCGAAGGCCGCGCCUAGCGCGGACGAAGGUAGGAUCGGUAAUAAGGGUGAAGUCGUAACAAGGCAUCCGUAGCGGAAGCUGUGGAUGGAUCACCUCCUUUCUAGGGAG
rnacentral:rRNA from 1 species